GUAGUGUACUCGCCCCGUUAGCGUUCAGUAGCAGUCGAACUGUGAUAAGCAUUGCAGGUGAAAUUUUCUACGAUCAAAAUCGUUAAGCGUUCAAAAAAACAUCGUAAAAUGGCGAAAUUGCAGAUUCGUGUUGUAUAUUGUGGAGCCUGAGGCUAUCGGGGGAAGUUCAACAAGCUCAAACAGGAGCUUGAAGGACUCUUCCCAGGUCAACUAGAUAUUACAGGAGAAGGCACCCCUGGAGUCACUGGCUACUUUGAAGUGCAAAUUGUAGGUGGCAAACUUCUUCAUUCCAAGAAGAAUGGGAAUGGCUUUGUGGAUUCACCUGCCAAGAUGCAGACCAUUGUUGAUGGUGUUAAGGCUGCUUUAGCUGAUUAACCAUAAAUCUUCAUCCUGCUUCUGCCAACAUGAAAGUUUGUGUUUUCCAGCAAUUUUGAUAAUCUUAAGUGACAAGAAUGAAGAAACUGAUUAAAAAACAAUUGUUCUGUUAGUUUCUGAUGGUUUAUUGUUUACUUGUUUUAUUGAAAGAACCUUGGUAAAUACAAACUGUAACUGCCCCCACUA